AGCAGUGUGGCUUAGUGGAAAGAGCACGGGCUUGGGAGUCAGAGGUCGUGGGUUCUAAUCCCGCCUUUGCCA
rfam:Ornithorhynchus anatinus chromosome 1, whole genome shotgun sequence.